ACGCUGGCGGCACGCCUAAUACAUGCAAGUCGAACGAAGUAGCAAUACUUAGUGGCAGACGGGUGAGUAACAUGUGGGUAUCUUCCCUUUGGUGAGGAAUAACACGAGGAAACUUGUGCUAAUACCUCAUAAGUCUUUACGGAGAAAGCUUUAUGCGCCAAUGGAUGAGCCUGCACUUGAUUAGUUUGUUGGUGGGGUAAUGGCCUACCAAGACUGUGAUCAAUAGCUGAUUUGAGAGGAUGAUCAGCCACAUUGGGACUGAGACACGGCCCAAACUCCUACGGGAGGCAGCAGUAGGGAAUCUUGCACAAUGGAGGAAACUCUGAUGCAGCGAUGCCGCGUGAGUGAAGAAGGCCUUUGGGUUGUAAAGCUCUUUCGUCGGGGAAGAAAAUGACUGUACCCGAAUAAGAAGGUCCGGCUAACUUCGUGCCAGCAGCCGCGGUAAUACGAAGGGACCUAGCGUAGUUCGGAAUUACUGGGCUUAAAGAGUUCGUAGGUGGUUAAAAAAGUUGGUGGUGAAAGCCCAGAGCUUAACUCUGGAACGGCCAUCAAAACUUUUUAGCUAGAGUUUGAUAGAGGAAAGCAGAAUUUCUAGUGUAGAGGUGAAAUUCGUAGAUAUUAGAAAGAAUACCAAUUGCGAAGGCAGCUUUCUGGAUCAUUACUGACACUGAGGAACGAAAGCAUGGGUAGCGAAGAGGAUUAGAUACCCUCGUAGUCCAUGCCGUAAACGAUGUGUGUUAGAUGUUGGAAAUUUAUUUUCAGUAUCGCAGCGAAAGCAAUAAACACACCGCCUGGGGAGUACGACCGCA
rnacentral:rRNA from 1 species